AGUGAACGCUGGCGGUAGGCCUAACACAUGCAAGUCGAACGGCAGCACAGUAAGAGCUUCCUCUUACGGGUGGCGAGUGGCGGACGGGUGAGGAAUACAUCGGAAUCUACUUUUUCGUGGGGGAUAACGUAGGGAAACUUACGCUAAUACCGCAUACGACCUACGGGUGAAAGCAGGGGAUCUUCGGACCUUGCGCGAUUGAAUGAGCCGAUGUCGGAUUAGCUAGUUGGCGGGGUAAAGGCCCACCAAGGCGACGAUCCGUAGCUGGUCUGAGAGGAUGAUCAGCCACACUGGAACUGAGACACGGUCCAGACUCCUACGGGAGGCAGCAGUGGGGAAUAUUGGACAAUGGGCGCAAGCCUGAUCCAGCCAUACCGCGUGGGUGAAGAAGGCCUUCGGGUUGUAAAGCCCUUUUGUUGGGAAAGAAAAGCAGCAGGUUAAUACCCCGCUGUUCUGACGGUACCCAAAGAAUAAGCACCGGCUAACUUCGU
rnacentral:rRNA from 1 species